AUGAACGCUGGCGGCGUGCCUAACACAUGCAAGUCGGAUGUGCCGCAAGGUGCAUGGCAGACGGGUGAGUAACGCGUAGGGAAUCUACCUUUUUGUGGGGAAUAACGCUCCGAAAGGAGUGGUAAUACCGCAUGAGACCACGAGCUGGGAUGCUUGUGGUGAAACCUGGGGACCGCAAGGCCUGGGGCAAGAAGAGGAUCCUGCGUCUGAUUAGCUAGUUGGCGGGGUAAUGGCCCACCAAGGCGACGAUCAGUAGCCGGCCUGAGAGGGUGAUCGGCCACACUGGAACUGAGACACGGUCCAGACUCCUACGGGAGGCAGCAGUGGGGAAUUUUGCGCAAUGGACGAGAGUCUGACGCAGCAACGCCGCGUGGGUGAUGAAGGUCUUCGGACUGUAAAACCCUGUCGUCAGGGACGAAGGUGGCACGACUAAUAAUCGUGUUACUUGACGGUACCUGGAGAGGAAGCCCCGGCUAACUCUGUGCCAGCAGCCGCGGUAAUACAGAGGGGGCAAGCGUUAUUCGGAAUUAUUGGGCGUAAAGGGCGCGUAGGCGGUUUUUUAAGUCAGAUGUGUAAUCCCCGAGCUCAACUUGGGAACUGCAUCUGAGACUGGAAGGCUAGAGUACUGGAGAGGGUGGUGGAAUUCCUCGUGUAGCGGUGAAAUGCGUAGAGAUGAGGAGGAACACCAGUGGCGAAGGCGGCCACCUGGACAGUAACUGACGCUGAGGCGCGAAAGUGUGGGUAGCAAACAGGAUUAGAUACCCUGGUAGUCCACGCUGUAAACGAUGAACACUUGGUGUGGAGGGAGUUGACCCCUUCCGUGCCGGAGCUAACGCGUAA
rnacentral:rRNA from 1 species